rnacentral:lncRNA from 1 species
UCACAUGGAUGGGGUCAGCCUUAUUCAGUGUUGAAUUCUGUGCUCUGUGGUGUAAUGUUCUUAGGAUUCAUGCACUACAUUUACCCAUGUUUCUGGUACUUUGAAUUGUGUCACUGGAGAAGCUGUCUGAUUCUCUGAACAUGACGCAAGCCUUGCUGUCACCACCACCGUGAAGGUCAGAUACAGCACCCAAGGCCCUUGCGCCUCUGCCACCGCUGUGAGAAGUACAUAUCCUGGCCAGCCUGCUGACUCAGGAGGUUGAGAAUCAGGUGCAGCAGACCAGAGCACUGCUUCAGUGUCAGGGUAGAGCUGCUCCAUGACCCAGAGAUUCAUACGAGCCAUCCCACCACACUCGUCCCACCUGGCUUGUGUCAAUGUUCCAUUACUGUUCACCGGCUGCCCACGCACCUCCAGCUCCACAUCAGGGGACAGCACCUGACAGAUGCCUGCCUUGGAGGCUGGGGCUGCCACAACAAAGAACCACAGCCUGGGGGCUUAAACACAGACGUGCAUUUCCUCACAGUGCUGGAGGCUGGAAGUCCAAGAUCAAGUGUGUCCUAGAGUGCAUGAAAGAAGCUGGAGAAAAAUCACCAUGGAGUUUAUCCUGGUUUUGCCUCUCAUGGAAAGAAGAGAGACAACUGAAGCCUCAAUCCAGGUAAAGAAGCAUUCUUGCAAGCCCAUCCAUGUAAAGUGUAUGAAAAGUGGGCCUUUUCCCUGAAAUUAUCCAGAUCCUGAUUUCAUUUACAUUUUGUUUUAUGAUUUUGGGGAAAUUCCAUCAGUAACCUAACAGGUUUAUUUCCUAUCUUUAGGAAAUAAAUAUACAGAUAGUAAAUUGUGCAGUUCGUAUCUGCAGAGCUUUCAUUCUUGGUCAUCUUUUUAUAACAUCUUAUCAAAGAUAACUGCAACAAACAGGUCUGGGGACAAGAACAGGGAAGCACAAGACCAGUUUCAUUGCAGCUAUAAAAAUAACCCUUUGUUUCCCAUUGUACUUUACAAGCAGGCGGCACUCUGCGUGUCCUGGAAAGGUUGGGUCUGCUGACCUUGGAGGGUUUUUUAUGAUCAGUAAGGAGCAGGGACAUAUGGCCCCAGGUGAAACCUUGGGUGAGUUGGGCCGUCCAUACAAGGCUCAUGAGACAAGUCAUCUCACUUGGGCCUUUCAGGGUCCGGUGAAAUGAGUAUAAUCCCCUCACUUUACAGACCAACAAACUGAGGUUCAAAGAGGCUAAUAAACUGGCCCAACGAUGUACAAUGAGUAAGUAAGUGGUUAUGUCACUUCACAUGUUUAGCCUUUCCCAGUCUCAUCUGUCAAAGGGUCUGUAAGAUUCUCUUCAAAACUCGCACAACCCCACCCCUCUGGGAAGGCACCAGAAAGCCUGAGCCAGCUCUCCUGGGAGGCUGCAGGGCAGUGAGUGUGCCUGCAUCCAGUGGCAGCAGUGCACACAGGGAGCGAGCAGCACCAGGCACUUCUCCCUCCAUGGCAGGGUCUACACGUCCCCCAGUGCACAUCUCAAGCUCAUACGAUACACUCUGCCAAGUCCAUUUUGAAUUCCAUGGCCUGAAUCAUUAACUUUCAAAGCCAAAGCAUUUAAAAGAUAAAAUUAUCCUCUUGGCACUCCUCAAACUGUGCUCUUGACCUCUUCUGUUAGGCUACAGUUUUGUUUCUGGCUGUGCAAAUGUCACAUAAUGCCACUGCACCCGGCAGUAUCUUCUUCAUAGCAACAGAUCAUAAUAAAAGUCCCUCGGAGGCUGUUUGUGUUUCACAUACACAUGGAAUGAAAGAAAAAUGCAGUGUGCUAUAUAAAGCGAGAGAAAUGCAUAAGCUUCAUCUUUCAUUUGCAGCCAAUUGGUUUUAAUAAGCUUUUAUGCUGAGAGGUGAAUAAUUAGCAUAUGUUCUUAAUUAAGAUUGUUCUAGAGCAGUAGAGUGCUCCAGGUCGUUAAAAAUGGUUUUGUGUCUCAAUGUCUUAAUUCUCUUAUCUUCUCAUCAGUCAAAAUACUUACAAGAAAUGAGAAUGUUUAGAUUUUUGUAUUUGCAUAAAUAAAUACUAGAAGGAAAAAUAAGGAAUUCAUUAAAACGGUUAUCAGUAUUGACGGUAGAUGCAGGGUAAAGGGGAAGGAAUGGGAGCAGGAUUUCCUUAUGUAUAAUUUUAAUUUUAUUUUGACUUUAGAAACAGGUAAAUGUAUUACCUGCUUCAAACUGAUGGAUGGACAGACAGAAAGAGCAGCAAACCAACAAGCCUCCAGCUCUCAGGCCUCUCACCUCUGGCCUUGCAUUUUCUUAAGUGUGGGUCAGCGUUAUAAGGAAAUCAGACAAAAAUACAGGAGAUGGAGUUUUGCUCUGUCACCCAGGCUGGAGGGCAAUG